GUUUCUCUUACCUUCUCAUGCAACAAUGGGCUGCCCAGGGUUCAGAUAUCCACCAGCUCCUAGGGCUCCCCUAGUCGGCAGGGGGAAGUUUAGGCAGUGAGCAGUGGCAGAGGCCCGGUGGAUAGGAGGGAUAGGGAUCUCCGGGAAUUGCCUUCCAAGUCCCUGGGAUUUUAGUCUGCAUCCAGCUCCAGUAGGAGGCAUGGAGGAGACACCUGCCAAAUGGCAAAGAGCUGAGCUGGAGGAGGAAGAUAUGGCUAUAGCUACGACCAUGACAUUUGGUAUAUCGCCGAAAGAUUUGAGAUUCCUGCUUGGCCUCCCUGCAAAGAGACAUGUGGACACACGUCGAUCCUUCUAGUCUCAUUUUAAACACUGGCGAGAACACCCCUCGCAGCGUUACAUUUCUACACAAAGAACUCUACAGUGUAGUCCUAUGCAUCAACGCAGAACAAUGAAUAGUGCCAUUUUAAGAAGGUCUAUUAAAAUCGAGGAACUGCAUACUGAUA